UUUGUUACUAUAGUCCUGUUUUUAUUUGCUAAAUAUUUGUAAUUAACUAAUUAUGCCGGGUAAUUAACUCCUUCCAAUAUAAUACACACUUCCUAGAAUGAGAUGAAUCAACGAUCUUCAUCAGAUUAUGGAUCUACACAACCUAUAGUUUCUUCGAUGUUAAUCCGAGCUUUCUUCACACUCCAUGCACUUAGCUCAGAGAUCAACACACUUUCUGUUCCAUUGUUAAAUGCAAACAAACGGGCGUCGUCUCCAAUGGCUAAUGUUGGGUAAACCCUAGCCGUGAUGCACGUCUUUCCUCCCCCUCCAAAGCUCUCAACGAUCGAGUUCUAAGUGAAAUUUCAUCUUGUUGAGGAUCUAUGUCGACA
rnacentral:lncRNA from 1 species